rnacentral:rRNA from 1 species
CAGCGGCAGACGGGUGAGUAACACGUAGGUGAUCUACCCCAGAGAGGGGGAUAACGAGUGGAAACAUCCGCUAAUACCGGAUAGGCUUGUUCGGUCAAAGGGACAAGGAAAGGCUCCGGCGCUCUGGGAGGAGCCUGCGGCCCAUCAGCUAGUUGGCGGGGUAACGGCCCACCAAGGCAAAGACGGGUAGGGGGUGUGAGAGCAUGGCCCCCCACAAUGGGACUGGAACACGGCCCAUACUCCUACGGGAGGCAGCAGCAGGGAAUAUUGCACAAUGGACGGAAGUCUGAUGCAGCGACGCCGCGUGGAUGAAGAAGGCCCUCGGGUUGUAAAAUCCUUUACAGGCGGAAGAGGAAGGACGGUACCCCUGGGAACAAGUGUCGGCUAACUACGUGCCAGCAGCCGCGGUAAGACGUAGGACACAAGCGUUAUCCGGAUUUACUGGGCGUAAAGCGUCUGCAGGCGGACAGGUAAGUUGGGCGUGAAAGCUCCGGGCCCAACCCGGAGAGGUCGUUCAAGUACUGCGUGUCUAGAGGGUGUCAGAGGGGAGUGGAAUUUCCGGAGUAGCGGUAAAAUGCGCAGAGAUCGGAAAGAACACCAAUGGCGAAGGCAGCUCCCUGGG